rnacentral:rRNA from 1 species
UACGAAGGGGGCUAGCGUUGCUCGGAAUCACUGGGCGUAAAGCGCACGUAGGCGGCUUCUUAAGUCAGGGGUGAAAUCCUGGAGCUCAACUCCAGAACUGCCUUUGAUACUGAGAGGCUUGAGUCCGGGAGAGGUGAGUGGAACUGCGAGUGUAGAGGUGAAAUUCGUAGAUAUUCGCAAGAACACCAGUGGCGAAGGCGGCUCACUGGCCCGGUACUGACGCUGAGGUGCGAAAGCGUGGGGAGCAA